CCCGCAGCCGGGACGCGACGGGACGGGACGGGGAGAAAUAGCCGAGUCACGGCCUGGAGCCCGUGAGGGCAGAGCGGGCGAACUAUGGCCCGUCUCGGGCAGGGUACCUCGCGCUCCGUCAGGGACGGUCUCCAAUGUCAGAUGCCUUCCUCCUUUCAGGAACCUCUGUUGCUGGACCCUGCGGUUGCCUCAUGCCAUCACACCUGACUGCUUCAAGCCGGUUAUUUUUCUGACUUUGGGGGAAAAUGACGCAAAUCAAGUUCCCUCUUACGUGGCCGUGCAGGGCAAAGCUUUCGGGGUUUUGCCCACCAGUCCCAAGUGAAGGCGUAGAGAUGGACUCGGUACUGGAAAAGGUCCCCCGUAGCUUUGUGUGCUGCAGGACACAAAUCAUCCUUAGCUUUAACCAACACCACAGACUCCUCUUCAAAUGUUACAGUAGAAAUGUGAACCUUGUUGGAGUUGUGAGUGUCCUGAUCAGAAGCAGAUGGCAUUAGGAAUAGCUGAAAUGCCUACUUGGAAUGCAAAAGGUCUGUGUAAAUAUAUCCUCUGACUGCAGCUGCUGUGGAAAAAGAAGAAAUUAUAAGGAAGGUUUACUCAUGUACUAUAAAACUGGGAGAAAAUGAGAGACAGCAAGGAAGAGCAAGAUGAGGAAUGGUCUGGCCUCCUGUUCCAACCACUGGACCUUGUGCAUCCUCCACUCUCAUGCAAGAUACUGUAAUUACAUUAUGACUAAAGUGCCAUCUGAAUAAUUUUACCAAUCAGAUUUCCCAGGGAAAGCACUCUUACCACAUGUAAAAGCCACAGCAAUGCCUCGAGGAGUUCCUUCCAGCAGUGAAGAGCACAGUCUAUGUUUUACUUCUUUGGCCAAAAGUUUAUCCUGUUUAUAUAAAUACAUAUGCAAUAUAUACGAAGCACCACAGGUAACAGAAUGUUUUAUAUAUUUUUCCUUUUUUUUUCUGUUUCUUAUCCUAGUCUUUUAGGAAGAAACUGGAAGUUUCUAAACAAACACACGUACACUGACAGUGACUAAUUCAAACAGUGUAUUGUUGCAGUGGCCUGUUCCUAUCCAUACCAAAACAAUCUGUUCACAGCUCACAUGCUGCCUGCAGGACACCCAGUGAACUCCAUUCCCAGGAAACAAGGGGAGAUGAUGUCAAGCUUGGGCAAGAUGAAGCUCAUUCUGGAGCUUUGAAUGGCUACCUAUUACAUUUCUGAAUAUUAAACAUAUGCUGGAAAAACAAAAAUUUCAAUGUAAAUUUGGACCCUUCAGAAGCAUCCUACUACUAUUUUAUUAGGUUAGUGUAUAAAGCCUUUUACGAACAAAUACAGGUUUAAAUAAAUUAUGCAAAAGAAACUGAGAUUAGGUAACUUCUGUAGGGGAAAAGCACUAUAUUAAAAACAUAAUUUAAACUUUCAUUUUUCGUACCUUCAUACCAAUUUCAUUUAACAUAGAAAAAACUUCCUAAUGGGAACAUUUUAUGUCACAAGAAAACAGCACAUUCAGACAUAGAGAUGAUCAAAAUUAAAAUCUGAAAUGAACCAAGAUCUUAGUAGUUUUGAUCUUUCAACUAAGUGGAAAAAACCCCCACAACAGUUCCUGUCAAAAUAUUUGUAGACAGAUUCUCAUAACUUAUAUCAAUCAUAAAUAGGUCCAAUUGGUAAAGAACUGGCACUUAGGAAUUUACUUAAACAGAUUGGGCAAGAAGAGGGGACAACUCAGAAGCAAUACUGGCCAACAACUUUCUGGCAAAACAUUAAUUAAUUUUGAAUCAGGCUGCUGCUUGUUACCAUUUAUUGAAGUGAACAGAACAGCAUCUAAUUCAGUGAUUAGAAUUAAGAUCUGUUACCACCAACUCCCUGGUAAUUUACUUGUGAAAGCAGCUUGACGGGUGUCAUCAAUGACUUCUGUUCACAUGAAACUGGAUUAAAACUUCACAACUUUACUCUCUUAAAAACUCUGAGCCUGCAAAUGUACCUUCCUAAAUAAAUUCAGCUACAGAAUGUACUCAUUAAAUAACACACAGCUCUUUUUUCAUCAUACUAAUUCAGAAAUCCCUUCUCAGUGAGUAUAAAAUCAGGGAUGCUGCCUCAGGGACUCAAGCAUAAGUGCACACCAGCACAGAGCUGAGUACAAUCCAAGUACUUGACCAGUUUAAUUAUCUUGCCAAACCUUGCUUAUUUAUUAAAGUUUUAAUACCAACCUUAGCAAUGAAUCAGUGUUCAUGGCUAGAUACCUUAGAAAGGGGAAACCCAAGCCAGUAAAUGAGCACAGGAACAGGGAAAAGAGAGGGACCAAAUUCCCAGCUCUGUGCCACGGCUGCCACAGGAGUGUGAGGAGCUGUCCCUGGCCAAAGAACUUGGAAAAAUAAAUGACAUGGGCUCUUUUACUUAAAAGAGAAGGUGUGAAGAAUCAUAGGAAAUCAUACUAUCAGCUAGGAA